UCCCUCUUCCCCUGCCACCCGCCUCCCCUCUUCCGCCCUCCUUCCUCCUCCGCUCGGGGCCCUCGGACCCGGCCUCCCGGCCCGCGCAGGCCUGAGGCCGCCUUAGACCCCCGCCCCCUCGCCCGUGGCCUGGCGGCUCGAGACCCUCUUACUGACGCCCCGGAACACCCAGGCAGAGCUGCCCCCCACAGCUUCUUUCCCGGGAGGGUUGUCUGCGUCUGCUGUCUACCGUCUAGCUUCCUACCCAUGUGCGGGGUCGGGAUCCAGGAAUCCUGGCGUCCAAACAGCAAGACCCCUCUGCUGUCCUCCUGGGCGUCGACGGCGCUAUCUCAGUUUCUUGAACAAAUCAUGGUGCUUCCUACCACUGGGCCUUUGUACAUGAUGACCCUCUACCUGGAACGCUCUUCUUCACCUUGUUAUCUGAUGAACUCCUUUUUAUUCUGGGAUCAUACUGCAGUGUCACUUCCUCACAGAAGACGUCACUGACAUCUCCAGCUAGGAAAAGAAAAAAUAAAUUGGUCUUCAUCAACAUGAAAAACUUAUACAUCAAGGACACUAUCAAGAAAGUGAACAAACUAUAGAAUGGGAAAAAUAUUUGCAAAUUAUAUAUCAGAUAAGAAACAUAAAACAUGGAAGAACUCUUACAACUCAACAAGAAGACAAACCCAAUUAAAAAAAUUGGCAGAGACUUAAAUAGUUAUUUCUCCUUAGAAGAUAUACAGUUGGCCAACAACCCUAAGAAAAGGAGCUCAACAUCACUAGCCAUUAGAGAAAUGCAAAUUAAAACCAUAAUGAGAUACCAUUUCAUAACUGCUAGGAUGACUUUAAUUAAAGAAAAAAGGAAAAUAAUAAUUGCAGCAAUUGUUGGAAAGGAUGUGGAGAAAUUAGAGCCUUUGGACACUGCUUUUGGAAUGUAAAAUGAUACAGCUGCAGUGUAAAACACUUUGGCAGUUCCUCAGAAAACUAAACAUAUAAUUAACAUCUGACCCAUCAGUUCCUGUCCUGGGUAUAUACCAAAAAGAACUGACCAGGUUUCAAACAAAAACUUUGACAUGAAACUUCAUGGCAGCAUUAUUCACAAUAACUAAAAGUUGGAAACAACCCAAAUGUCCAAUAACAGAUGAACAGGUAAAUAGAAUAUGGAAUAGCCCUGUAAUGGAAUAUGAUGCAGCCAAAAAAAAAGGGAAUUAAGUGAUGAAAUGAUUUGGGAGUAAAAGUGAUGUGGUGCUCAUUGUGCAUGUAUUAAAUGCCACUGAAUUGUUCACUUUAAAAUGGUUAAUUUUAUGUUAUGUGAAAAAUUCACGUAAAAAUUUAUUUUAAAUAUCCUUUUAAAAAAAAGGCA